rnacentral:ncRNA from 2 species
AAAGGCUGGACGGGAGAGAUCGGCUACUGCCGACGCCGACGGAGCAACCCCCCAAGGAAACUCUCAGGCAAAAGUGACCGCACCGCCGAA